rnacentral:rRNA from 1 species
AUUGAACGCUGGCGGCAUGCCUUACACAUGCAAGUCGAACGGUAACAGGUCUUCGGAUGCUGACGAGUGGCGAACGGGUGAGUAAUACAUCGGAACGUGCCCGAUCGUGGGGGAUAACGAAGCGAAAGCUUUGCUAAUACCGCAUAAGAUCUACGGAUGAAAGCAGGGGACCGCAAGGCCUUGCGCGAACGGAGCGGCCGAUGGCAGAUUAGGUAGUUGGUGGGAUAAAAGCUUACCAAGCCGACGAUCUGUAGCUGGUCUGAGAGGACGACCAGCCACACUGGGACUGGGAAACGGCCCAGACUCCGACGGGAGGCAGCAGUGGGGAAUUUUGGACAAUGGGCGAAAGCCUGAUCCAGCCAUGCCGCGUGCAGGAUGAAGGCCUUCGGGUUGUAAACUGCUUUUGUACGGAACGAAAAGACUCUUUCUAAUAAAGAGGGUCCAUGACGGUACCGUAAGAAUAAGCACCGGCUAACUACGUGCCAGCCGCCGCAGUAA